AUUGCAUAAAGUAAAAUGGUAUAUCAAAUAAUUUUGUUAUAUCUUAUAUAACAUAGUUGAGAAUCAUCCUUAUACAAAGUUUGGUAUAAAAAAUAAAAAAUCCUGAAACCUAAAAAUUGAUUUUUUUUUUUUAAAACAUUGUUUUUGCCUUUCCAUGUCAUUUCAUGUAAUUUUAUUUUUUAAAGAAACUGAGUCCUGGUGUCCUCUACAGAGGACAUAGCAUAACAUGAAUAAAAUAUAAUUUUUCAACAAAAAAACAUACCCUCUCAGGAGGAUAAAAACAAAAAAAUAAGGGGCCCCAACACAGAUCCUUGGGGAACCCCUUUUAUUAUUUGUUUCAUCUAAAUAAUCUCAUGAGUAAAUAAUGACACAUCUUUCUUUUAUUCCUUUAACACAAUCAUCACCUAGCGAGACAGAACCCUGCUAAACCUUCACCGCCAGUUGCCUUCAUCUGUGUGCGGUGGAUCUUUCAUCUCUAUACUGUAUGUCGUGCUCCACCCCAGGAGGCUUUUCCUUCACCUCCCCACUCCUCUGCAAUUAAGGCUGACAGGACAGCUUUCUCUGUUCUGCUGAUGCCAGUACUUAUCAAGAAUGAGAGAGAGAGAGAGGGAGAGGGAGAGAGAGAGUUCAGGUAUGGAAAGAAGUCAGUCAAACACAUGGAUGUUGUUCACAUAAACCAGUAUGUGUGAGAGAGAGUGAAACUGGCAGAGCCAUCAAAAGCUAGAAAAAAAAUAUAUUUUGAAACAGAAGUAAACACUGGAAUGUAUUUUUUGUCGCUGUGGUCUGUAAAACAAUCAUUCCAAUAAAGUACUUUGAAACUGACAUUGAAUAAAACUGACACAGGCAAAGAGAGAACAUUUGACUCGUCCCCUGACACAGUAUUUAACUCAUUAUGGGGUCUUUUAGUGUAAGGGGCCACCAAGAGAGCAAACAACCAAUUCAAUAAAUGUCAACUUGAAUCUGUCAGGCGAUGUGAGGAAUCGCGCCAGCUUCAGUCACCCAGAUACAACAGCUUGAAACAAAGAUUUUUUCUUUCUGCUCCUCAUAUAUAUCUUUCCUGUCUUUUUCUGCAGCU
ensembl:lncRNA